CAGAAUGUCAGUAAAGAGAAAGGUUAUGACAAAGAUUCUGAUUCAGAAUGUUGGUAAAGAGAAAGGUUAUGACAAAGAUUCUGAUUCAGAAUGUUAGUAAAGAGAAAGGUUAUGACAAAGAUUCUGAUUCAGAAUGUCAGUAAAGAGAAAGGUUAUGACAAAGAUUCUGAUUCAGAAUGUCAGUAAAGAGAAAGGUUAUGACAAAGAUUCUGAUUCAGAAUGUCAGUAAAGAGAAAGGUUAUGACAAAGAUUCUGAUUCAGAAUGUCAGUAAAGAGAAAGGUUAUGAGAUUCUGAUUCAGAAUGUCAGUAAAGAGAAAGGUUAUGAGAUUCUGAUUCAGAAUGUCAGUAAAGAGAAAGGUUAUGAGAUUCUGAUUCAGAAUGUCAGUAAAGAGAAAGGUUAUGACAAAGAUUCUGAUUCAGAAUGUCAGUAAAGAGAAAGGUUAUGACAAAGAUUCUGAUUCAGAAUGUCAGUAAAGAGAAAGGUUAUGACAAAGAUUCUGAUUCAGAAUGUUAGUAAAGAGAAAGGUUAUGACAAAGAUUCUGAUUCAGAAUGUUAGUAAAGAGAAAGGUUAUGACAAAGAUUCUGAUUCAGAAUGUUAGUAAAGAGAAAGGUUAUGACAAAGAUUCUGAUUCAGAAUGUUUGUAAAGAGGAAUCAUUAGAUUCUGAUUCAGAAAAAAAAAUCAGAAAAAAAUGCCUAAUACCACCAUCUAGUGGGCACAACCUGGUAAUAUCAGGAUUUUUGAAGAAAUUAUUUUUUUCAAAACUAUUACAAUAUUGUCUCUUUGGUUAAUUACUCACAUUUUAUGCACUGCAGUGAUAGCUAGCUGUAGCUUAUGCUUUCAGUACUAGAUACAUUUUUUGAUAUUUUGAUUGGGUGGACAUGUCAGUUCACGCUCCAAGAGCUCUGAUAGGUUGGAGGACAUCCUCUGGAAGUUGUCAUA